AACCUCCGCAAUGUGAGAAAUCGCGACGGGGGGAUCCCAAGUGCCAUUCUUAACGGGAUGGCUUUUCUUAAGUGUAAAAAGCUUUUGGAAUAAGAGCUGGGCAAGACCGGUGCCAGCCGCCGCGGUAACACCGGCAGCUCUAGUGGUAGCUGUUUUUAUUGGGCCUAAAGCGUCCGUAGCCGGUUUAAUAAGUCUCUGGUGAAAUCCUGCAGCUUAACUGUGGGAAUUGCUGGAGAUACUAUUAGACUUGAGACCGGGAGAGGUUAGAGGUACUUCCAGGGUAGAGGUGAAAUUCUGUAAUCCUGGGAGGACCGCCUGUUGCGAAGGCGUCUAACUGGAACGGUUCUGACGGUGAGGGACGAAAGUUAGGGGCGCGAACCGGAUUCGAUACCCGGGUAGUCCUAACUGUAAACGAUGCGGACUUGGUGUUGGGGUGGCUUUGAGCUGCUUCAGUGCCGAAGGAAGCUGUUAAGUCCGCCGCCUGGGAAGUACGGUCGCAAGACUAGAACUUAAAGGAAUU
rnacentral:rRNA from 1 species